GAGCCUCCAGGAGGUGGAAACUGGACAAAGUCCUCAGGUCACUGAAGGGUCUGCUUAGGAAAAGAUUAAUGCUGUUCUGAAGAGAUCCCUGGAGUUUUAUGAGUGUUGUCAUCAGAGAAGAGCUGAUGCUGGCAACAUGCCAUGGAAUCUGCUGAAUUCCAGGAGGCCCUGACCUUACCACCACGAGCAUGUGUGAAUUCCCACACCACAAAGAUUUUGUUCUUCCGUUGGUCACCAUCUCUAAUCUGUAGUUUCCUCCAAUUCCCAACUGGACAGUUUGAACUGUAUUGUUGGUCUUUGAGACUGUUUGCACAGAAUAAUGUGAAGAGUUUAAGAAAACACAUGACACUGGAUUGGGUCCAGUAGCAGCAAGUAUGAGACUCUGGGCACAGACAAUUUUGUCUUCUGGAAGCACCUCAAUGGGUCACCCAAAGCAAAUGGAAGAAAUGAUCACAAAUAUAAGGUACAGGCCCCACCAAAGGAACACAUGCUCAAUAAAUGUGUAACCAAGAUGUGGAAUAACAUAGGAGAGAAAUUCCAGACCUGGAAUAAACCUUCAUGGUGGAGCACAUACUUAAUAUGCUUGAGACCCUGGGUCCUAUCUCCAGCACUGUAAGAAUAAACAUGGGGGAAAUAUUCCAAGCAAGAAAGAGGUACAG
rnacentral:lncRNA from 1 species